rnacentral:rRNA from 1 species
UAAUUGAAGAGUUUGAUCAUGGCUCAGAUUGAACGCUGGCGGCAGGCCUAACACAUGCAAGUCGAGCGGUAACAGGAGAAAGCUUGCUUUCUUGCUGACGAGCGGCGGACGGGUGAGUAAUGUAUGGGGAUCUGCCCGAUAGAGGGGGAUAACUACUGGAAACGGUGGCUAAUACCGCAUAAUGUCUACGGACCAAAGCAGGGGCUCUUCGGACCUUGCACUAU